rnacentral:lncRNA from 1 species
CAACAACCACAUAUAUACAUUGCUGCUCAUAGCACUCAUGAAACACAUCAUUAGAUAACAAUAUCUCAAGUUUCAUUAAAGCCAACAUUUAGCAAUACACAUCAAGUUCAAUCAUCUAAGAUUCUAAUCCAUGACAGUUCCAUCAUCUGACACAACCUAGCUAGGUUAAAUGGUAGGCACAAGCCAUAUGUUUGCUUCCACAAUCUAACUCGAUUCACUACAAAAUGCCCCAUCUCCAUCUUAUCAAAAGCAAUAUGUUGGCUUCCUGGUGACUUUCCAAUAUCAUAAACACCUCCAAGGCUUCCGUCCCACCUGAAUACAAAAAAACACAGCGCACACUCGUAAAAAAAUACAAAUAAAGAUGACUACAUGCUGCUUUAAACUAGAUUCCUAUGCUUUUUGCCCUUCCACAAAAUUUAAGGAGAGUUUGAACAAGAAUCUGCAUAUACUAGUAAGAAUCGAUAGGCGCCAAGUUACAUUCAACAUAGUUGCAUUCAAAUAACAGAAAAAUAGAGUCUUGUACUGUCAGUUUUUUCUCCAUUUUUUCUAAACGUGGAAAACAGCAGGGGAAGGCCCCAUUUUUAGAUUUUCUAUAUUUACAUUGGUCAGUUACAAACAUUAGAUUCUAGACAUAAGCUUUUUCAUGCCUGAUGAAAUUGAGGUAAAGGUAAUUCCUACAUGAUGCAUGUCCAACACUGAUAACAUUUAUCAGUUAGAAUUAUGCUUUCAAGAGUUUCAUAUAAAAUCUGCUAGUAGCAUUCAUUGGCCAUUAAAUUGCAAUUUUUGUAGCUACAUUUGCACAAAAUUGCAAUAGAAAAAGGUAGAAAUCACAUUUAGACUGCCUAUCUGAGUUCUAGCUCUUCUCUCCUCCUGCUCCAUGUCCACAGUGUAAAACAAGGCUUACUUCAAAGUUGGGAGACAUCUAAUGAGUUACAAGAUACUCCCAUUAACUAAAAGCAAAAGCUAAGAAACCAUUCAAUCCAUGUUCAACCUUCACGCAAGACAUCAACCAGAUUUCCAUAUGAAAUAAAAAACAUAUCAUAAGCACUAAAAUAGUCGCAUACUUCUACAACUUGAAAAAAAAGAGAGCAACAACUAGGGAAACAGAAACCUACCGAUACAAACAAGUAGAGCUGCUACUGGAGCAUGUUCAAAUGCCUUCACAAGGUGUCCAGCUACACGUGGAGCAGCUGCAAUUAAAAUAUGGUGAGGUUAUACAUGUGCAUAUAUUACAGCUCAAAUAUAUCUCUUAAAUACCUACAGUGGCAGAGGAUGAAAUGAAAAUACACUACAAAAUGACCACCCCUCUUGCAAUGCAUAUAUACGUUGCUAAAAAUACUUGAAUGAGCAGAGGGGAUACCUUAGGGUAGGAAGUGCAGGGCGCAAAAUGGAAUUGACGGGAGGGAAACUUAGGCUAGAUCGAGGAUUCUCCUAACU